CCUACGGGAGACAGCAGUGAGGAAUAUUGGUCAAUGGGCGCGAGCCUGAACCAGCCAAGUAGCGUGAAGGAUGACUGCCCGACGGGUUGUAAACUUCUUGUAUAAAGGAAUAAAGUGAGGCACGUGUGCCUGUUUGUAUGUACGUUAUGAAUAAGGAUCGGCUAACUCCGUACCAGCAGCCGCGGUAAUACGGAGGAUCCGAGCGUUAUCCGGAUUUAUUUGGUUGAAAGGGAGAGUAGAUGGGUUGUUAAGGCAGUUGUGAACGUUUGCGGCUCAACCGUAAAAUUGCCAUUGAUACUGGCAGCCUUGUGUACAGUUGCGGUAGGCGGACUUCGUGUUGUCGCUG
rnacentral:rRNA from 1 species